CGGCGAAGGCCGUUCAGAAGCGGUGUCGGUUAUGUGGCAAUGUGUUGUUUCGGCAGCAUGUUGUCCGGCUAUGAGCGCUCGUUCGUUUAUAGUCGCCGCACCUGUCGAAAGGGAAACGGGUUAAUAUUCCCGUACCUAACAGCGGAGAUUGGUUGUUUAUUUGGCUAUACGGGUCUCGUGCUCGUUGUAGUCUGAGCAACUCACUACGGUAACGUAAACGAACUCGACUACUCUAACUGGAGUCUCGGGAAGAGUUGUCUUUUCUUCAUAAGGAGUCGACUCCAUGGAAUUGGUUCAGCCAGAGAUAUGGAGAUGGCGUCCGAAAAGCAUUGCGCUUCUUGCAAUGUCCGAUGCGCUUCAAGUGGACCUUGAAAUCGUCGAGGGAAAGAAUGAUUUUCGUGUUAGAUCGUACCCAUAUCCGC
rnacentral:rRNA from 1 species